rnacentral:lncRNA from 1 species
GAAGACGACGGGCGACGGCGAUCCGACGAGUGCUUCUGUCGCCGGAGAGGAGGAGCCUAGGGAAGGCCGCGAGACGUUGAAACACCGGCGAUGAGCUCGAUUGCGAGACAAGAGAGGAGAGAGGAGAGAGGGAGAGAUCUUGCGUCCGACGCACAGUGAGAAAGAUUGAUAGAUAUCGAGCAGAGAGAGACAGAGAGAGAGGAUAGCAAGAGCAGAGAAGAAGAUUUCAGAAAUCUUCAGAGGCGUGAACGAUUUUAG